UAAAGCACCUGUACUAUUUCCUACCCACCAUCGAUGGGUGAGUGUUCCAGUUCUGUCGUCUCCGAAAUCUUGGGUACAGUCACCCCCCGCAUUCUAAUAGAUUCAUCAGUAACAACAAAGAGAAAAUUGACAAAGAAGAUGACAAAAAGUAGUUUUAAGUGAGGAUACUUUCAAAGAAUUAUGAGAAGCCCCUGAAAAAAUUAAUGAGGAUGGAAUAUUUUUACAUGAGGAAACUGUGCAAGAGAGCUGACUGACACCCAGGACUGUUGACUUCGAGUUCACAUUCAGAACUACCAGGUCACCUGGACUGGGAUGGAAUUUUCUAGGACAUAGGAUUUUAGAGAUACAACCAGGAAAUUCCGUGCAAACCAGGACUGGCUUGUCAGGAAUGGUCUGUACUGUGUUUAGGUACAGAUAACUGUCUUCAUUUGUGUUUUUCUUCAGGGCUACUGUCACCAAGUUCUAAGUGUUGCAUUUGCAAACACCCCAGAUCACUUUUCCUGCUUCUCCACGCCCUGCAAAACACUGGCUGCGUUAUGUGGUGCCCCCAGGAUGGGCUUUACUAGCUCCUGCGGGGUGCUCUGUGCCUGUAGGUAUCUCUCUCUGCUGAGCCAGGAUGUGUCCCCCGAGCUCAGAGGUGGAGUUUUGUUUGUUUCUUUUGAUGGGAAGAUUCUCCUCCUGUCCAGAGCUGCAUCUGAAAAAACUCUCUUUCUCAACCCAGCUUCCUGUGUAACAGCAGGAAACAUCCCCCCAGCAACCACUCCUUGGGAAGAUCAUGAGUUGGCUGCAGUUUCCUACACCUUAGGUUACAAAAGCACAUUGCAAAGAAUGGUGAAGUCCCUGAGUGUUGACGCAAGCACAGACUUCCCAGACUCGAGAGACACCUCUGGAAGGGCUGACAUUGGCCUCAACUAUUUCUCUUAUAUCCUUGAGAACGAGCAGCAGCACAGACUUCUGUGUGGGUCACUUGGCCAAAGCUAGGGUCACCUAACUUUGAGCUGGAAAGUUGCUGGAAAUUUGAAGGUAAAGCACUCCAAAGGCUAAGAAGUUUAGGAACCACAGACCAUGUUCAAAAAGAGCCUUUCAGAAUUUAAAAAAAAAAAAUGGCAAAGUUAAUUAGCCUCCCAGCAGCAGCUUUUCAAAAAGUAAUGACUUCAAAAACAAUUUACAGCUGGGCAUGAUGGUGCCUGGCCGUAAUUCCAGUACUCA